GAUGAACGCUGGCGGCGUGCCUAAUAGAUGCAAGUCGAGCGAACAGACGAGGAGCUUGCUCCUCUGACGUUAGCGGCGGACGGGUGAGUAACACGUGGAUAACCUACCUAUAAGACUGGGAUAACUUCGGGAAACCGGAGCUAAUACCGGAUAAUAUAUUGAACCGCAUGGUUCAAUAGUGAAAGACGGUUUUGCUGUCACUUAUAGAUGGAUCCGCGCCGCAUUAGCUAGUUGGUAAGGUAACGGCUUACCAAGGCGACGAUGCGUAGCCGACCUGAGAGGGGGACCGCCCAAACGGGACCGGGGACAGGUCCCAGACCCCUACGGGAGGCAGCGGUAGGGAAUCUCCCGCAAGGGGGGAAAGCCUGACGGGGCAACGCGGCGUGAGUGAUGAAGGCCUUCGGAUCGUAAACCCCUGUUAUAGGGAAGAACAAAUGUGUAAGUAACUAUGCACGUCUUGACGGUACCUAAUCAGAAAGCCACGGCUAACUACGUG
rnacentral:rRNA from 1 species